UACGUAGGGUGCAAGCGUUAAUCGGAAUUACUGGGCGUAAAGCGUGCGCAGGCGGUCAUGCAAGACAGAUGUGAAAUCCCCGGGCUCAACCUGGGAACUGCAUUGUGACUGCAUGGCUGGAGUGCGGCAGAGGGGGAUGGAAUUCCGCGUGUAGCAGUGAAAUGCGUAGAGAUGCGGAGGAACACCGAUGGCGAAGGCAGCCCCCUGGGCUAACACUGACGCUCAGGCACGAAAGCGUGGGGAGCAAACAGG
rnacentral:rRNA from 1 species